AGGACCUGUGUCUGCGGAGCCUGUACCUUCGCGCUGUGCCCAGGAGGAAGCCUCACCUUCAUUCCACCUCUCCCUUGUCAGGGAAGGGGGUGGCGUAUGACAAAAGAGUAGAAGGAAAGAGAAUUCCUCAGGCUGAUGGAAUGAAACAUCAGCAAACAUCAAGGUCGACAGAAACGUAGGUAUCAUGGCCAGCCCACUGACUUACCUCAGGAAGAAACAGGCCCCAAGAAAAAGACUAGCUUGGCAGUCUUCCUUGGCGCCUCUACCACUUCCCUGUGCUGCAACGGUUGUCUCACCCUCUAGACUGGGAGAGGGCAGAAACAGAUUCUGUCGUUGUCGCUGUUGCCUUGCCAGACCUCAGGAGACCUGGCGCUCAGUAAGUAUCUGUGGAACAGAAUGUUUGCAUGAGCAAACGGAUAAACCAAGUGAUUAUACGUGCUCUUAUACAUAAUAAUGGCCUGAUGAUGUCUGCAUAUUGCUUUCGUUUCUCAAACCAGAUAGUGAGAGUGGAAUCCCAUGAGACCCCUGGGGCAAGAAGAGUGGUAUCAAGUGUACGCACAAGGGCGCACGUACACACAUGCGAGCCAGCACAAGCGGUUUCCAUGCGUGCGUCUGUAUAAGCAUAUAGAGACUCAUCCCCUUUCUAGCCAGCACGGAGGAUGCCAUGACGUGCUAUUUCCUGUUUUAUCGGCAGUAAUAGAGGCCUUCUCCACCACACACACACACACACACACACACACACACAUCUGGUCUCUUGCAAGUGCAGGGCUGGUUUUCCCCUUUAGUGGAGGAGAGUGAGGAAAGCCAGCUGUCCACAAGGGGGCGCCCAGAGACCAUUGGGACGCAAUGCCUGAAAGCCAAGAAGACUACUCGCUUCAGAGAGAGGAGACCCAUCACAGGAAAAACUGAAGGCCUGGGCGGGGUCUCUUGCGGAAGCCCCGAGGAAGAGAUGGUCAGCCCCUGGAGAAACAGGACCUAGAGUUGAAGGGAGAGCUUCAGUCAUAAGAUAAUAGAUAUGAUAAUAAUGAUUGCUCUUACUAUUUACUCAGCGUUUAUCAUGUGAUGAACCAAGGGCUGAUCUAAUCACCCAGCAGAUAAUAACCCAUUUCAUCCUCCCCUCACCUCUGCAAGGCUCAGUACUGCUAUAAUUCCCGUUUUAUAAAUGAGAAAAUACAUGUCUCAGAAAGAUUAAGGGGCAAAGGCAGAAUUUGAACUCAGGACCUGUUGUCCGCAGUCAACACUGUUAACUACUCUGCUCCCUUGGCAUUAGAC